CAGACACAUACCAUGAUGGGCACCACUUCCUGCUCUGGGCAGAAUGACAAGGAAAGCUGCUUGGACACGUUCACAUCCAACAUGUGAUGUUUCCAGAUCCAAGUUUUCUUCUGGAACUUUCCCUGCCCAGACCUUGGUGUUCUGAGCCAAAGUCUCCCUCUGUUGCCCAGGCCUGGCCUUGAAUUUUCAAUCCUUCUGCCUCUAGGAAGAAAGGUGUGCACCUUCCUUUGGAGUGGUUUUGACCUGGCUUUGUUGAAUGCAACAUAGGUACAGGAACUUGAAAACAGCCUGGCAGUCAGAGGGCUAACAUGGCACAAAGGCAAAGACUCGGGAACACGGCUGCACCAAUACCAUCCUGAAUGCAAUACUAUGUGUUGCCAGAUACUACGUUGAUUGACAGGUCUCACAGCAUAGAAACCUGACCUCUGCCAGUGGAGAAACUAUGCUAAGAACUUUCUCUGAUGCAGAAGACGCCAGAUGGUCUAAUCGUACCGUGUCAGGACAAGUCAGCUCUCACCCCAGAGGCUUCUUUUUUGAGAUACCACCAGAUAGUCUCACAACCUCUACAUGCAAGACAGAGGUACUCGGCUCUACAUGAGAUGGUUAUAUCACCUCCUGCCAUCAAGGCGCAGGGAUCUUAGGGAAGAGGGGCGAGAAAGUGCUGAGAUACUAAGUUUCUGAGGUGCCUAGAAUGGAGCCAAGUGCCUCAAGCAUGCAGGACCAGUGCUCUACCCACUGCAAGGCCCUGUCAAUACCCUGGGAUUACGUGAGACCUGAUCCACGCUGUACCCAGACUGCCCUCCUCAAUACUUGAAUAUACUGGGAACUGAUGAACAGUGAGCAAAAAGCAAGUGCAUGAGAGAACCAGGACUAAGGAGGUAGAGGUAAGAAGAUUGCUUCAACUUCAAAGUCACUCUGGGCAAUACAGAAUUCUAAGUCAGUUAUGGCUAAACUGCCCAAGGCUAUCUCAAAAAACAAGUGAGAGCUGGUGAGAUGGUUCUGUGGGUUAGAGCGCUUUCCAAGUCUGGGUAGCAGUUAAGAGCAUCAACCGCUCUUCUAG